AGGUCAUUUUGAGGACAAUUUCUUAGCAACCCUUUAUAAUGAUCCUAUGCUUCAUAAAGUAAUUCACCCGGAUUUUGCUCAAAGUUGGCUAUUGCUUUCUUGAGUUU